CGGGAAAGCUCAAAUUUUGAAUCUGGCGGUCAUUUAGGCCGUCCGAGUUGUAAUCUAGAGAAGCGUCUUCCGCGCUGGACCGUGUACAAGUCUCCUGGAAGGGAGCGUCAUAGAGGGUGAGAAUCCCGUCUUUGACACGGACUACCAGUGCUAUGUGAUGCGCUCUCGACGAGUCGAGUUGUUUGGGAAUGCAGCUCAAAAUGGGUGGUAAAUUCCAUCUAAAGCUAAAUACAGGCGAGAGACCGAUAGCGAACAAGUACCGUGAGGGAAAGAUGAAAAGAACUUUGGAAAGAGAGUUAAACAGUACGUGAAAUUGCUGAAAGGGAAACGCUUGAUGUCAGUCGCGUCCGCCAGGGAUCAACCUUGCUUAAUCGCUGGGCGCAUUUCUUGGUCGGACGGGUCAGCAUCAGUUUCGAUCGUCGUAGAAUGGUCAAGGGAAUGUGGCACCUCUAGGGGUGUGUUAU
rnacentral:rRNA from 1 species